UACGUAGGUGGCGAGCGUUGUCCGGAUUUACUGGGCGUAAAGGGCGCGUAGGCGGCCACCGCAAGUCGGUUGUGAAAUCUCCGGGCUUAACCCGGAAAGGUCAAUCGAUACUGCGGGGCUAGAGUGCAGAAGGGGCAACUGGAAUUCUCGGUGUAGCGGUGAAAUGCGUAGAUAUCGAGAGGAACACCUGCGGCGAAGGCGGGUUGCUGGGCUGACACUGACGCUGAAGCGCGAAAGCUAGGGGAGCGAACGGG
rnacentral:rRNA from 1 species